AAUAUUGACUUGUGGAUAUUUGGAUAUAAUUAUUGUUUUAUAUUAAUGCAUUGGUUUUAUUUGUUUUCAUGUAAUUAAUUAUUUUAUUUCCAUAAACAGGUAAUGAAUUACAACAGAUUGUGUACCUUUAAUUAUUUUAUUCUUAAUGACAAGUUGAUUACUAUUUUCAGGUAUCUUGGCUUGUUACAAAUUGCACAAGCAUGUAUGACACUUGCACAACUUAGUAACAAUAGCACUAUCACCCAUGCGCCGCGCCUGUCCUAUUGUUUCCAGCUUGGGUACAGUGUAAGCUGAUGUGGUUUAAGUGUUCUUAUCUGAAAUGAUAGCUUAUUACAGUUCACUGUUUCCUUAAAUACUGGUGUACGUCUGGUAUUGUGGUCCACAUUAUAGUUUGCUCUUCUGGAGUUAAUACUUCAUUUUAGGCUCAAUUUAUUGGAAGAUAUUUCUAGAGAAGAUUUAAGGUUAGUUAUAGUUAGGUUAUUUAUUGUUCGGCUACACUAUAAUAACAUAUACUUUAAUGUAAAUGUAAUUGACUAAAUCAUGCUUUACAACAAGUAAUUAUUAUAUAUUUCUGUAUAACGUUAUAAACUGUACAGUGUAAUAUUAAUUCUUAUUAAUUCAGUAAUUUGAUUAAUCUAUAUCUAAAUAUGUGAUAAACAUAAUUUAGUAUGAAUGCAGUGUGUAUGUUUGUGGUGAUGAACACUUUAGAGAUUGUUGUAUUUUAUUAUAUAUUUUAUGAAACAUAACGUGUCUGUGUAGUUAUUUAUUAUUGUAAUUCUUUUAUGCAGAUACGUCAAUCCUUUUAAGUGUGACCAGUUCCAUUUGCCCUGGUGUCACAUACUUGGGUGAUAUAAGAAUGGAAACUUGUCAGCCAUUAAAGAGCCUUUAACCCAAAA